UACGUAGGUGGCAAGCGUUGUCCGGAUUUACUGGGCGUAAAGGAUGCGUAGGCGGAUGUUUAAGUGAGAUGUGAAAUACCCGAGCUCAACUUGGGGGCUGCAUUUCAAACUGGAUAUCUAGAGUGCAGGAGAGGAAAGCGGAAUUCCUAGUGUAGCGGUGAAAUGCGUAGAGAUUAGGAAGAACACCAGUGGCGAAGGCGGCUUUCUGGACUGUAACUGACGCUGAGGCAUGAAAGCGUGGGGAGCAAACAGG
rnacentral:rRNA from 1 species